rnacentral:rRNA from 1 species
CAGCAGCCGCGGGAAUACGAGGGGGGCAAGCGUUGUUCGGAAUUAUUGGGCGUAAAGGGUGCGUAGGCGGCUUGACAAGUCUUGUGUGAAAUCUAUGGGCUCAACCCAUAGUCUGCACGGGAAACUGUCGGGCUUGAGUAUGGGAGAGGUGAGUGGAAUUUCCGGUGUAGCGGUGAAAUGCGUAGAUAUCGGAAGGAACACCUGUGGCGAAAGCGGCUCACUGGACCAUAACUGACGCUGAUGCACGAAAGCUAGGGGAGCAAACAGGAUUAGAUACCCCAGUAGUCCCUGUCUCUUAUAC